rnacentral:rRNA from 1 species
CCUGCGGAAGGAUCAUUACCGAGUGUAGGGUUCCUAGCGAGCCCAACCUCCCACCCGUGUUUACUGUACCUUAGUUGCUUCGGCGGGCCCGCCAUUCGUGGCCGCCGGGGGCUCUCAGCCCCGGGCCCGCGCCCGCCGGAGACACCACGAACUCUGUCUGAUCUAGUGAAGUCUGAGUUGAUUGUAUCGCAAUCAGUUAAAACUUUCAACAAUGGAUCUCUUGGUUCCGGCAUCGAUGAAGAACGCAGCGAAAUGCGAUAACUAGUGUGAAUUGCAGAAUUCCGUGAAUCAUCGAGUCUUUGAACGCACAUUGCGCCCCCUGGUAUUCCGGGGGGCAUGCCUGUCCGAGCGUCAUUGCUGCCCAUCAAGCACGGCUUGUGUGUUGGGUCGUCGUCCCCUCUCCGGGGGGGACGGGCCCCAAAGGCAGCGGCGGCACCGCGUCCGAUCCUCGAGCGUAUGGGGCUUUGUCACCCGCUCUGUAGGCCCGGCCGGCGCUUGCCGAACGCAAAUCAAUCUUUUUCCAGGUUGACCUCGGAUCAGGUAGGGAUGCCCGCUGAACUUAAGCAUAUCAAUAAGCGGAGGAA